UCUGGCCCUCAGAGACACCGGAUGAUUGGAGUAGCUUCCAGCCACCACAUCUGGUUCUCCUCUUGCACUCCAGGAAGAACCGAGGUGGUCAGAUUUGCCCUGGCUCAGCACGUGGGACUCUCCAGCAGGAGUACAUAGUAAUGCAGCCAGCGCAUGCAGUGAAGGUGACUCCUCAUGGCCAAGGGCAGACCGGGUGACCAAGCAGUGCAGAAGGGGGGCUGCAAGGAAACAAGUGCAUCUUGCCUCAUCUGUCUAGGCACCAUAUUAUUGCUUAUGGGGACAUCAGCACUGGGAUCCUGGGGAUGUUCUAGCGGAGAAGUUUUACUGAAUGUGGCUGAAUCUGUCUCAUGCGUAUGUGAAAGGGACAGAUAUGAACUUUCUGCUCUCCAUAUCAUAUUGACUUUCUGGAGCUUCCUCUGUACAGGAAAUGUCAGCAGAGUGGCCACAAACUGUGUCUUUCACAAAAGUGUAACAGUGCUUUCCACAUCCUGGUUUUAAUUUGGCAUGACUGGGAGAAAAGAAGAAACGUUUUCCUUUCCCUUCCUCUUGGCUCUUGAUAUCGUGAUGUGGUCAGGGCCACCAUGGUCACUCUCUGACCCGAGGGUUCUGGGAUGGACGCAGACCCUGAGCUGCACACAGCCUCCCUCCCUCCAUGGGAUGGGGCAGUGUGGUCAGGAGGAGGCAGUGCAGCAGGUGCCAGCAGCUUGGGCCGUCCAUAACUCUGUUAUGCUCCUAUACAUUCAACCUUCAUUGCUCCAAACCAAACAGACCGGUGUCCUCAGCCCCAGAAUGAGGUCUCCAGCUGUGCACAUCACAGCCUCUGGCACCCUGGGGGACUCCUUCAGAGCUUCCUGGAGACCCAGAUCCAAGAAACAAAGAGAAGAGGCAACUUUCUCUCCUGCUCCUGGCUCUGCCAAGUUAACAGGAUAUUUUUGCUGGAGAGCUGCACUAGUCUGGACUGCUGACACUUUCCUGGGAUUUCUGUGGGGCUGGAGAGGGACAAUUUCACUCCCUGGGAAGGUGCUGGUCACAGCUAUUUUGCCAGGCCCCGAAGCCAAGCAGUGAGUCUGCUUGGCAUGAAGCCCUGGAGAGAUCUCCUGAAGCUCAGCACCCACCCACAUCCCCAGCAAGUCCAGAGAAGCCUUCCAGGCUCUGAGAAAGCCUCAAAGCCCCUGAACCUUGGCUGGUCCCACAGCACUAAUGUUGCAUAAACUUCUAAUGAGGUAUGGUGUCGCGUUCUCCGUGUCCUGUCUGCUUUUUGUCUCGGAUGAGCCAGGCAGCCAGCAGAUCACCUGCACCCAGCCAUGUGCACUCCUCCUCCUCCUCCUCUCCCUCCUCCUUCUCCUUGCCCUCUGCUGCCCUCCCUCCCUCCAUGCUUUGCCCUGAGGGUGAAAUGCCUCCUCCCUGCCUUGGAGCCCCGUUCUCUCCCUGCCCAUCUGAGUCUCCUGCAAGCCAGGAGCCUUUGCAGCUGCUUCCAAGGACAGGAAAGCAGAGAGCUCCCCGCUGCUGCUGGCUGUCACUCUGCAAAACCCCGAGCCAGCAGCCGCUCGGAGAAGGAGCGCUGCCAUUGCAGUCAGCAGCCAGAGGGUCAAAUCCUUCCAGGAAAAUGUAAUCACUUCCAAUGAGCAGAAAAGCAAUUUAGACGAGAGCUUUGUGGCUAGAGAUUACAGAGCCCAGAGGCCAUGUGUGUUCAGCAGCUCUCCCCAGCCUGGAAGGGAGCGGGGAAGCUGGCAGCUCCCCCCGUCCUGCUGCUCGCCUGGAGCUGCUCCAUGCCAGGAGAUGAACGCGGACCUUCCCCUGCUGGCUCCAACGAUCCAGGCUGCGUGCAGACCCGCUGUCCCUCAGCAUCCCUUGGAUCCCCAUCCCCAGCCUGGCUCCCAGCCAAGAUCUGGGGCUGGAGACCAAGGGGGGAGGCCUGGGUCUGUGCAGCUCCUAAAAGAGCAGCGAAAGUUGUCAGACGAAGCGUUCAGCCAGAGACACCUUCACACGACCUCUGUGCUUUGGGCUCACUGCCCGGCUCUGGCAGCCCCAUGCCCCACAUACAAGAUGUGAUGAGCUGGGCCAUUGUCCCACCUGAAAAAAAGAAAAAGAAAAAAGAGCUCACACCACACGGGCUCACACAAACCAAAGGACCAGCAGCACAGAGGAGCACCUCACACCUGGCAAUGGGGCCAGUGGGUUCUCAGUACCCAAUAUUUUGUGACCGGCUGCUUCAAACAACUUUCUUAUGACCUUACAUGUUGAAGCCACCAUCUGACUCAGCCCCCCAAGCCCUGGACCAGCCGUAGGGUUACCACUGCCGCCGGCUGCCCCCCAUGUGCCGUGGGGUCAUUCCCUCUUUAGCACAGCACGCUCUGCUCAGGAUGGGGUCAGCAGCCAACGGGACCACCUGGAUGGUCCCAUUCUGGGGAGCUGCGGUCAAUGUGUACCAUCAGAGCUGUUUGCACAUCGCUGUCAGCUGCAGUCACCCUGACUCAGCUGCUCCAGUCCCUCUGCUGUACACCUGGAAAAGGUUUGCAAAGCUUUUGCGCUGCGGGCUGAGAGGUGAGCCCAGCUCGCACGGAAGAGUCUGCAUUUGUUCUGUGUCAUCCUGGGCCGAGGUGAGAGGAAGUGUUCGAGUCUCAGAUUACACAAAGGCUUUCAGCUUGUCCUGAAAAGUCAAAAACUUAGAUACUUAGGAGCCAGGUCUCCCUUCCAAGUCUGAUUUCGAAGUAUUUAUCUUUUUGAAAUGUUUAAGUAUAAUUAGCUUAAAUUUCAAAACAAAGGGUCAUCUGAAAUGGAAAAUAGAUUUUUUUUUUAUCCCUUAAGAAUGUCAAAACACUUCAUUUUGAUAAAUUUAGAACUCCUUCCAGAUUUUUUCUGACUCAAUAAAUUAAUCAAACCCGACCUUUUCUUAAAAUAAGUGUUGGUUUUGAAAAAAAAAAUCAACAUUUUCCAGUGGAAAAAUAUACAAUUCAUCCAAAAAUUCUUACCAUGUUUCCAUCCUGACUUCUUGUCAUGUGUCUCUCCUAUGCUGCUUUCCCAGUAACUAUAAUCCUGGCUGGAUUAAUUAAAGUGGGCAAGGAGACAAAGUCAGGAACAGCUCCAGCCUGAGCAAGAAAUUUUCUUUUCAGGCUCAGAGAUAUGUUGAGAACAUUUCUUUUUGCUUUAUUUCUACAAGUCUGAGGCUGAGCAGACUUCAAGGUGCAGUGUCCACAGGGAGCAUUUUCUUUGCUGUGACCUGUGACCCUUGAAAUCCCCACCUUUCCUCCCAGUGCUCAUUCUCUCUUUAUUUGCAUUUCCCCUAAAAACAAGCUUCAGCUACUGAGCCUAUAAACACAAAUUUAUUGUUGAGACAAUCCAGGAGAUGCUUAAAGAAAAUCCUGACACCUCCUUGAGAUUUAACUUGAGAAGUUCAGCUGGGAUGAGACACUGAUCCAAGAUGAACAUGUGUGCAUCUGGAGCAACUUCAGUGGUGGAGUCCACAGACAAGCUCUGGUUUCUGCAGUAUUUAUUUACACCAAAGAGACUGACACAGAAAUUAGGCCGCUGAAACGAGCCAGAAAAAACUCUGUGGCAAGCUCUGUGCAAAGCCAUUGACAAAACAAGCUGGAAAGGGGUCAGAGAGACGGUGUGGCACUGGGUGACCUUUGGUCUUGGUGAUUUAUCUCUUGUGGCAUCUUCCUGCUCCACAGAGCAGCACAGUGCAGGCAGAUCCAAAGGGAGGUGAUUAAAGCUGCCCUGUGCUAGUGCCAGCGUGCUACCUAGGGAAUGCUGCCCAGGCCAGCACCCCUCCCAGACACACCUUGCGUGCAAGCAGCUCUUUCCUAUGGAGCAAGGUGUCCUCAGCCAGUCUUCCCACAGGGCAGGAACCUCCUCCAACCUGCACUGUGGGAUGGCCCCAACUGGAUCCAGGCAAAGCCGCACUGGGGCUGGACCAACAAUUUCACCUGCUGGGCUGGGAGGAUCAGCGCUGCAGCCCCUCUUUGUUUUACCUGCACAAACUGUGUGACCACAGAAGUUUGUGGCAGCUGGGCUGAGGUUUUAUGGUUGCCAGUGGCACUGAAACAUGAGAUUUAUUUCCUCUGUGAAUCCAGUGCCCAGCACUAGCUGGAGUGGGAUGACAGUGAUUUACUACGAGUGUACGCCUGUUCCCGCUGCCCACAGUGCUAACAUAACACUGACACAAGCCCCGUAACUUCUGUGAGUGCCUUAGGACUGCUCUGGGUGUAUGCAGCACGGCUGGGGUGGCAAGAAGCAAGGUGCAAGGUUCAGCUGCACUGCCCCAGGGAGGACCAUGGGCCUGAUCCUGCUCUCAGGCAGACAACGCUCCACCACCAGCCUGGACAGACAACUUGUUUUCCCUGGGCAUGAGAAGAGAGCAAGGGCCAAGUGCUUCGCUGGGAUUCAUGACCAAUUUGCUGACGCCUGCGAGGUGCUGGCCAGGACAAUGGCGGAGAGCUGCAAACUGCCUGGCCCCAUGGCACGGGGCCACUGGGUCCCCUGGGACCACAGGCAGCAGGUCCCCAGGCCAAAGGGGACUUGUGUGCUGUGGACCUCUGCCCCCGAGACUGCCACCUGUCAGCGCUGUAAAUGAACCCCCUGGUGCAAACAAGCCCAAAUUCCCAGCGGGCUCCCACCUUCGCCCGUCUCCUCCAAUCAGCUCCCCGAAACACACAUCCUGACACAGCCACCACGCACAGCACCUUUGAAUGAAGUUGCCAUAGUUACUGGUGCCUCACAGCAGCAGGCUGAGCUCAUUAAAAUGAUUUGAAUGGCUACCCUAUAAUCAAGGCGCUCAGGGAGGGGAGGUCUGGCGGGGAGGAGGGCCCUGGGACGUGACGGGGGCAUGGGCUGGGAGCAGCUCCAGAGAUCGUGGUGCACCCAGAGUGGCUCAGGGAGAGGCAUGGGGACAGUGUGGGGCUGGGGCAGGUGUGUGCUCACACCUUGUGCUGUCCCCUCUUGGAGAAGGAGGAGGGCGUUGGGGUCUCCUUCCCUGCAGGGACCCCCGGUGCUGCUGAGGCUGCAGGCAAGCAUUCCCCCAUCAUGUCCACACACACUCCGUGUGAUGGUUUCCCACAAUCUGGGGUAGCCCGGGAGGCAGUGCUGGGGGUCUGGAAUCAAGAGUAGCUCGAGACAUAAGCCAGAUCUUUCAAAAUAUACCUUUCAAUAAAUAUUUUACAAAUUACUGUUUAAGAAAACAAAAAAAAAAAAUUAAAAAAAUAAAAAACACAUUAUUGGAUUCACCCAAAA